rnacentral:rRNA from 1 species
AACGAACGCUGGCGGCAGGCCUAACACAUGCAAGUCGAGCGCGCCCUUCGGGGUGAGCGGCGGACGGGUGAGUAACGCGUGGGAACGUGCCCUUUUCUACGGAAUAGCUUCGGGAAACUGAGAGUAAUACCGCAUACGCCCUUUGGGGGAAAGAUUUAUCGGCAAAGGAUCGGCCCGCGUUGGAUUAGGUCGUUGGUGGGGGAAUGGCCUACCAAGCCGGCGUUCCAUAGCUGGUUGGUGAGGACGAUCAGCCACGCUGGGACUGAGACACGGCCCGGACUCCUACGGGAGGGAGCAGUGGGGAAUCUUAGACAAUGGGGGCAACCCUAAUCUAGCCAUGUCGCGUGAGUGAUGAAGGCCUUAGGGUUGUACAGCUCUUUCAGCUGGGAAGAUAAUGACGGUACCAGCAGAAGAAGCCCCGGCUAACUCCGUG